rnacentral:rRNA from 1 species
GCUUGAGUCUCGUAGAGGGGGGUAGAAUUCCAGGUGUAGCGGUGAAAUGCGUAGAGAUCUGGAGGAAUACCGAUGGCGAAGGCAGCCAUCUGGCCUAAUACUGACACUGAGGUGCGAAAGCAUGGGGAGCAAACAGGAUUAGAUACCCUGGUAGUCCAUGCCGUAAACGAUGUCUACUAGCCGUUGGGGUCCUUGAGACUUUAGUGGCGCAGUUAACGCGAUAAGUAGACCGCCUGGGGAGUACGGUCGCAAGACUAAAACUCAAAUGAAUUGACGGGGGCCCGCACAAGCGGUGGAGCAUGUGGUUUAAUUCGAUGCAACGCGAAGAACCUUACCUGGUCUUGACAUCCACAGAACUUUCCAGAGAUGGAUAGGUGCCUUCGGGAACUGUGAGACAGGUGCUGCAUGGCUGUCGUCAGCUCGUGUUGUGAAAUGUUGGGUUAAGUCCCGCAACGAGCGCAACCCUUAUCCUUUGUUGCCAGCGGUCCGGCCGGGAACUCAAAGGAGACUGCCAGUGAUAAACUGGAGGAAGGUGGGGAUGACGUCAAGUCAUCAUGGCCCUUACGACCAGGGCUACACACGUGCUACAAUGGCGCAUACAAAGAGAAGCGACCUCGCGAGAGCAAGCGGACCUCAUAAAGUGCGUCGUAGUCCGGAUUGGAGUCUGCAACUCGACUCCAUGAAGUCGGAAUCGCUAGUAAUCGUGGAUCAGAAUGCCACGGUGAAUACGUUCCCGGGCCUUGUACACACCGCCCGUCACACCAUGGGAGUGGGUUGCAAAAGAAGUAGGUAGCUUAACCUUCGGGAGGGCGCUUACCACUUUGUGAUUCAUGACUGGGGUGAAGUCGUAACAAGGUAACCGUAGGGGAACCUGCGGUUG